rnacentral:lncRNA from 1 species
CUUGGUGUUAUUUGGACAUAAAUUAUGAACUUUGUCAAAAGAAACCACAUUUGUUCCGGACCUGGAAUGCCUUCCGGACCUGGGAUCCUGCCUUCUGAUGGAGAUAAUCAAAGCUCCACCUCUGCUGCAGAGAUCCCAUCCUGACUGGAGGAAACAACACCUACAGGUAGCAGAGGAACAGUGUUAGGAUGAACUGACUGGAGGAAACAGCACCUACAGGCUGAAUGACAGCACCAUGGCAACAACAACAGGACGCCAGUGUGGGUUUCCUGUGUACUGAGAGUGUCUUCUCAGCCAAUCAGUGACUAGCUCUUAUAUGAGUACUGUAAUACCAACAUCAUAAUAUCAGACUUAUCAACAUUAGUAGUGGUCAAUGUAUGUAUAUGUUUACAUGUGUUUAUAUAUAUGUAUGUGGGUAUAUGGUAGUGUGUCCAUACAUUUGCAUAUCAUGUAUAGUCCUAUGUGUGUGGUUAUGGUUUACUCAGCUAGUGCUGCUGCUCUGUGGGGGAGGGGUUAAGGGGGCCUGGGUUUCAGGUCUGAGGAGCAGUGUCAGAGUAGCUGGGUCUGUCAGUAACAGUAUCAGAGUAGCUGGGUCUGUCAGUAACAGUAUCAGAGUAGCUGGGUCUGUCAGUAACAGUAUCAGAGUAGCUGGGUCUGUCAGUAACAGUAUCAGAGUAGUUGGGUCUGUCAGUAACAGUAUCAGAGUAGCUGGGUCUGUCAGUAACAGUAUCAGAGUAGCUGGGUCUGUCAGUAACAGUAUCAGAGUAGCUGGGUCUGUCAGUAACAGUAUCAGAGCAGCUGGGUCUGUCAGUAACAGUAUCAGAGUAGCUGGGGUCUGUCAUUUACAUUUACAUUUUAGUCAUUUAGCAGACGCUCUUAUCCAGAGCGACUUACAGUAGUGAAUGCAUACAUUUCAUCCAUUUCAUUUCAUGCAUUUUUUCUACUACCCCCCGUGGCAAUCAAACCC